GUGGAGAAUUUUAAGGUUACUUUAGAUGUUAACUUUCAAACGGUGCUAAUCAAAGACGCUAAAUCAAUGACUGUUAGCUCCUUCGUAAAUGAAUGGAAAGUCCGCCAUGAUGGUGAGCAUUAGAGGUGAGCGAGGCGAGGUGGACAGCGGUGUACACAGUAUUCAUUAGCACUUAGCUGAGUGUAAAAUAAAUGUAUGGUUACACAAUGCAACUUUCAUUUCAGUAAUGCCAUGGUUAAUAAUUUAAUAGACUACAACCUAAAUCAUCAUCAGCACGAAUUCAACUAAUCACCCAAAUUAGCUUUAAGCUACAUUGUGUAGUAGUCCGUAUACACUUUGAGUCUUGUCCACUGUCCUACUUAUUUACAACCAGUAUUCAAUACAACAUUUUAUCACACAUACUUUCUGUGUUUUGAGGAACUUGCAAAAUGACAAGUCUGUUUUUUGGAUGGUGUAUUGGAGCAAUUAACAGGUGAGCAGUGUGUCGAGGACAUUUUUACAACGCAUUCUGAAUUCUGCUCACCGUCAUGGCGGCCAAACCCGCGGAGGGUAUAAUACGUAACUUCCAGUGGAAUACAUAUUCCUAUUCAUUUCUAAUUUCUAGUGUAUUUGUUGGUGAUUUUCAUCCAUAUUCAUUUAUAACUUCUAGUGUCUAUGGUGGAGACUUUAUCGCAUCGAGUCCCGUUGUGUGAAACUGUUCACGGUCCGUGUUGGGUGUCCUGCCGUUAAAAAUAACUUGCUGUAACGAUUACGAUUUGAAAUGUUUUAACGGUGUAGCAGUUGCUGGCAAUGAAUAGUGGCGCUUUAUUGUGCACUGAUAUGUCAACGAACUGGAUUUCGCUUUAAUAUCCAUUUAUUUUUUGGCGUGCACUCUGUACGCUAAAUAGAAUUGUUGUUGUUCACACUCGGGAAAACACUGCCCUCUAGCGUUUGGUAUAUAAUUUACGAGGUCACCCUAAUGUCAAAAGUUUGAUAUAGGGUUUUCUAAAAUAUAAUGUGAAAUAAUUACUUUUCUUGGAACUAACAUUUUUUUAAAGGUGUAAUUUAAUUACUAAUUCACAACUUGAAGGGUCACACGUGCGCAAAGUCUUCAGGCUCCAGUCUACCAGUAACCCUAAUGAAAACAACUGGUAUUGAAAAUGGAUGGUUGAGCUAUGAUGGAUUUGAGCUUUGAGCUGAUGUUCUCCCGGCUAUGUAGGUGUAUAUAGUAUACUCAGAGGCCAUUGUCUGUUGGGGCAAAAAUUCAAAUUGAAAGGGGGGACCCCAAGCAGUUGCCUGCUUUACAUGAUGGCAAACAGCACUUUUGUAUAUACAGGUACAAGCUUCAAGUAGCAGUUACCAUAGGAACACAGAUGCAACCCAAAAGUUUUUUUUCUGCUGGUGAAUGCCACCGUGACUUUACCCGCCACCGUUGAGCCAAUUGGCGCCAUUGUGGAAACCUCUGGCAUGCCCUCCGCUUGUCUUGUGGUGUUCUGGUCAUUGUCAUUAUAAUCACUCAUCAUUAUGUCUCCUCCCGUGGUUGCAGAUGUCAGCACUUGGGCCUGUUAAAUAUGGCUUAAAUGUCAGAAUGCUUGCUCUUUUAUUUUUGUAACUAAUUGUACAUUUGAGUAAAUAUUGAGAAGAAGGUACUGUCACCGUUUGGUUUGAUGUGUGGUUCUGAGCGGACAGCGUCACCAGUGUUGUUUUCCUGAGUGCAGGUGCCGAUGUGGUGGGAGCUUCUGAAGCAAACGUGGAGGAGACACGUGGACAACCAGAUGAACACCAAAGCGCAUGCUGGGUGGACGCCAUGUUAAAAAAUGUCAGAAUUGCGACUGAACUCACCGAGCAAGAAGAGUUGACGCUUCAUCUUUGUGACUGCAAUGAAGUCCACCUACUCCUCGUCAGUCCAGUCAGGAGCGAUGCUGUGCUCCAGGGCGAUGGCGGCCAGCUCCUUGAGGAAUUCCGCAUACAGGACAAUGGCAAACACUCGGCUCUUCUCUUGAGGCGGGAUGGUGGGACAGGGUGGCAGGAGCGCGAGGGGGGGCAUUGCAAAAGAGGUUCUCACGGAGCCGUUGGGAAGAGGGCGCUCCAGAAUGUCGCCUCCCUCGAACUGGAGGCUGUCUGCAACACACAAACGUGUUAACUUGUCGCCACAGGAGGAAGAACAGGCUGAUAAACGCUAACCUUGGAUUUUGCUGUCUUGGUCUUUAGCCAACAAGAACCUCCAUGCCUGCGUCACCAAAGAGGGGUACUCUGGUCGCCCUUGGAUGUAGCGCUCGAUUUGGCCUUGAAGGGACACCAGCACCUAUACAGUGUAAACAAAAUGAAAGCCAAAAUAAGUUGUUGCUCGCAAUAGUCAUUUAUGACUUUAGCCAGAGACGUAAGGAAAAUUGGGGCGAUAAAGGAAUACUACUUUUAUUUUCAAGCUUACUUUCCACUGAACAGGAAGUCGCUGUUUCAAAUGUUGUGUAACUAGUUCACGUUUAGAAACGAGCCUAUUCGGUUUCAAAUUUGAUGCCGACAAAAACAGUCGACAUGUAUGUUGAUGGCGAUUUAAUCACUUUUUAGUCAUAGGAACACGGACUUGGACUUGAUGAGUCGGUCACCAUAGGCAGGUUCCACUGCAUAUUUAUUGGUACGUGUAAUGACUUGUGUGUGUUACCUGGUACAGUGUACGCACGCCAGCCUGCUGGUGUGUUUGCGUGGCAAGCAAAAAAGUUCUCAGCAGUGGUUGUGGGUACGAUGCCAGUUGAGCCAGGAUGCCCGUCACCAGCAAGUUGACUGCGAUGGAGUUCUCCAGGAGGUUCUCCAAUCGGGACAGCAAGACACUGAUGAAUGGACCUGAACCAUAAUGAUUCUCUAAAAGGACUCGGACCUGAAAACCAGCUGCAGCAUCACGUCCUCACAGAAGAGCCCAAUCAGAGUCCUGAAGAAGGCCAGCGACACCGUGCCCAGCUGAAGAGCACCAAUACAGGGUCACCUCCUUGACUAUGACAUUUAACCUUGACUUGGGGGUAGGUGUUACCUGGAAGGGUGUGUUGACUCUGCUGACCAGGGUGUCCAGGAUAUGCACGUUAUCGUGUGUGUGCAGCAGGAUGAAGGAUAGGAAGGUUUGAAGGAGGGAGGGUUCCGAGAUGGUGCGCAGGAACAGGUCCAGGUAGGCUGUGGUGGUCAUGACCUCCUCCACUGUCAGCUACAAACACACACACACACACACACAAACGCACUUCUUUGAGUUGUCUUUUACAUGCAGAAUCUGCUACAAUAAUGCCGAAUCUCCACUUGAAGGCAGCAUUCUUUGGAUCGUGUGGAUCUGUUCUGGUACCUUGUGUAGAGCAGGAGCCAGCACAGGGACCAGGAAACCAUUGUCGAUGUAACUCAGCAGCUGGGAGCGAAUGGAAGGAUGAGCCACCUGGGAGACAGAUACGAUUAUUAGGUUGAGAAUAGAAAUGAUUGAUUGUGUGUGUGUGUGUGCGUGUUACACUAGUGACGGCGCUGCAGAAGCCCAGUGAGUGCAGAAAGUGGACAAGAGCAGGAACCUAGUGAAGCAAACAUAUUUUAUGCAGCUUUAUUAUUGCACUAAUACACACAAUAACAGCUUCAUGAUUACCUGUUGCCAGUCGGCCGGAUCCAGACAGUUCCACUCUUCACUGUAAACUUGCAACCUGGCUGGGAGGGAGGAGUAGAGACCAGAAAGACCCGUGGCCAGAACCUGCAGCCAGCCAACACAUUGAUUUUUAGUACAGUCACCAUCACAUUCAUAAAACACAACACUAUGGUGUUUACAGUAGAAGCACAAAACUGUACUGGGUCCAAAUUCCAGAUUACAUUUGGAUUUGGAUUCUUUACGAGAAACAACAAAAAUACAAAACAAGAGCAUCAUCAGCGGCACGCUCCAAUCACACUGAGUUUUACUAAUCCUGCCUCGACCUCAAGCCAAUCUCUGACUGAUUUCAUAAUCUGUGCUCUACAGUAAGAUUGAGGUCAGAUGGUCACAUGGCCUUUAAUGCUAAAGGUGGCACUGAGUGAAAGUGAACAAAAAGCAAAAGUGGGCCGCCAAUAUGAGGUCAACGAAUAUUUGGUUUUGUCUCAAUUUGCGAACUUCCGUACCUACACAUAAGUACACACUGAGAAGUACGGUAAAAUACAGUGUGCAAUCAACACCCAGAUGUUGCACUCAACAAUGCCCCCUAACCCUGCUUAAUCAUCGCCAUCUUGGCUUUGAAGCGAAAAAGUAGGGACUUAAUUGGCUGCAAAUCACAAUUAAAAAGAAAACAGUGAACUGUAUGUUGCUAUAUAAUUUUUUUUAAGAAUGCACUUAUGCACUCACAAUGCUAGUGUAAAUAGCAAAGCGUGCCGCGGCCUUUGAUUCUUCUUCUGAUGGCUGCAUAGCGCCCUCAGGUGGUGUGGUCCCUCACAGCUACUGCAUGUCAGCCAACCAAUCCAUCCCAGCCUACCUUUUCCAAAUGUUUGACACAGAGUGACCACAGCCAUGAGCUUGUUAGGUUGUUACAUAACGAGUCAUUAUGAGAUCACAAUGCACGCUCAUUCAUGAAAACACUAGCAAAGUUCUCCUGUGACUAGAGCAGGGCUUUGGGGGCCACUGUGACACAUUUGGAGCAGUAAAGAUGCUAAAACAAUUUCAUUAUAGGUUAAUAUAUGUUAAGCUACCUGAACAGAACUGCAUAACUUUAUUCAGAUCAGCUUUGCAUUAGCAGCACAUGCUAACGGCUUCAUCUGAAGCUGCUGUA